AGCCAGGUCCAUCCGGAAGAGCAGGAGAGCCGUGGCCAGGCUGUGUGGACGUCCUCAGGGGCCCAAACCCCGGACGAGGCGGAGGCCGGGUUCAGCUGGGAGUGGGGUUUGCAGAAUCAGCGCCCAGGGGCCAAUGGAGUGAGACCAGACUGAAGGAGGAUGGAAGAAGGAAGACCAGAGUCCGCCAAACUCUGAAGAGUGGACCGGGAGCACGGACCGGGAGCACGGCCAGGCUCCCAGGCAGCCCCUGGGGUCCCUCCACCCUGGGGGGGGGGGCCCUCCCAGGAGGCCUGUUGUGGGAACUCACACACAGCUGCCGCUGGUGGAGGACCUUCCCGUUCAGCGGCUGGAUGGCGAGCGCCACCUUCUCCAUGGAGCCGAGACCCACAAAGGUGCCAAGGGAAGAGACAGAGCAAGUGUCAGGAAUCGACAGCCUUGAGCCAAAUCCGACGCACCAGCUUCCUGUAACUAAGGUCUUCUUGGAACAGAACCGCACGUGUCACACACUUACAGCCACUUUCAUGCGACACAAGAGAGCACAACAGUCACACUCUGACCCCUUCCGGAAAAGCCGGGCGGCCCGAGCUGUGGGGCCACGGCUCUCACUCAGCUGAGAGUCACCCUCUCUUUCCUCUGAAGCCACCCCUGCGAGGCCCGGCCGGGCCCAGAGGGACAGGACGCGGAUCGCUACGGCUGCUCAUGUUUUAAAAGUUCUGGGGAG